rnacentral:rRNA from 1 species
GACGAACGCUGGCGGCGUGCUUAACACAUGCAAGUCGAACGAAGAGCGAUGGAAGCUUGCUUCUAUCAAUCUUAGUGGCGAACGGGUGAGUAACGCGUAAUCAACCUGCCCUUCAGAGGGGGACAACAGUUGGAAACGACUGCUAAUACCGCAUACGAUCUAAUCUCGGCAUCGAGGAUAGAUGAAAGGUGGCCUCUACAUGUAAGCUAUCACUGAAGGAGGGGAUUGCGUCUGAUUAGCUAGUUGGAGGGGUAACGGCCACCAAGGCGAUGAUCAGUAGCCGGUCUGAGAGGAUGAACGGCCACAUUGGGACUGAGACACGGCCCAGACUCCUACGGGAGGCAGCAGUGGGGAAUCUUCCGCAAUGGACGAAAGUCUGACGGAGCAACGCCGCGUGAGUGAUGACGGCCUUCGGGUUGUAAAGCUCUGUUAAUCGGGACGAAAGGCCUUCUUGCGAACAGUUAGAAGGAUUGACGGUACCGGAAUAGAAAGCCACGGCUAACUACGUG